UUAGAUUUUCCUCAUUUCUUAUAGAAUUUUUCUAAGAUUCUUCUUGUUGAAUGUUGAUGGAGAUGAUAUUAAGAUGCAAAAGAUGAGAAA
rnacentral:pre_miRNA from 1 species